UUAUCAGGAUUACUCAAAAAGUACUGAACCAGUUUUCUUGAAACUUGGUGGAAGGGUGGGCUAUGGGCCAAGGAGGAAACCAUUAUCAUUUGAACUGGAUCUGUUUAAA